rnacentral:tRNA from 1 species
UCUAAUAUGGCAGAUUAGUGCAUUGGACUUAAACCCCAAAUAUAAAUUUUAUUUUUUUAGAA